rnacentral:snoRNA from 1 species
UGCCUUGUGAUGCUAAAAUCAAGGCUUGUUUCUCAUGACAUUCGCAGUUGCCGCCUAAGAGCUUUCGCCCUGCCAGGCUUGAGGGUUAGUGCUACUGCUGCAGCAAAUCUCCUCCUCUUGCAGCA